UCGUUUAUUUCCAUUAUAUUCUACACUAAUAAUAAUACACGGUAUUCCUGCUAGAAAUGAUCGUUGAAAUGUCUACAUUAUGUAAUGCUAUCGAAUUAUCGUUGCAGUAAUGAGAAUUCCUUGAGAUGCCUUUAUUUCUCUCUUUCAUAAUAUUCAUUAUAAUCUAUUAAUUUCGAUAAAAAAGAUUCGUCGUAGUGAACGAUUAUAGUGGAAACGGUAUUUAGCAUGCAACGCUUGUAUCUUUUAAAUAGAUUAGUCUUUAGAACCGUAGAAGAACCCUUGGUACUUGAAAAUAUUUCACCGUACAGUUAGCAAAUUUAUUAAAAUCAUGAAUGAGCACGGUCAACCGAUUCAGUGUUACUAAAAUGGCCUACGCCUCGUACUACUUAAGGCGGACUAAAUUCAUUUUACUCUCCUAGCGUUUUUUUCUUUUUUUUCUUCUAUUUAUUCAGUCGCUAAAAUUCAUACAUCGUACACAUCCGUUUGUCAUACGGACGAGUACUUUCUCUUUGUUAAUAUCACAACAAAUCGUUACAUUGUCUGGUCAGAUUGAUGAUCAACCUAUUCGCUGUACGCGUGGUACAUUCGUUUCCCCUGAAACGAAGGCCUACCCAUUGCACGCACUAUAAAAACUGUAAUGAGUCGCGUUUGCCGAAUUGUAUUUACCGAGUCAAGAGUGUCAAAAGGGGAUGUUGUUACAAGAUGGCCAGGGAUUCUCUCGAUCGACAGGUUAAAAGGAAGAAUGCAUAGAAGGUGGGGAGAAUGCGUUGCGCAGAACGUCCUCUUCUCGAGAAAGAGAAUCCGACUCGUGUGGAUAGGUGCGAACGGCACGCGACCCAUCACACGCAUAUAUUGUGCGUGAACUUGCUUCCAUCUCCCUUUUCCUACACCUUUCUUCCUUCCUCUUCGGACCUCUUGCUCUUUCCCUCGGUCAUGAGUUUGGCGUGCGCGAGCGCGCGCGCGCGCGAGUCUCCACUAUGGUGUCAGAUACAGGGAAUUGUGUGAAGAAAGAGGUGAACACGGGAGGAGAGGGAGUAUUGGAAAUGGGACGGGAACUGGAUGACGGCGUGGCAGCAGCUACCUAGCCAUGUCAGUGACAGCGGCUCUUUGUCGAGUGUUACUUAUCCCGCGUUGUUUCCUUCCGACAACGAUUCUCUUUCUCGAUUGCCGAGCGUUCCUAAUCACGAAUUAUUCGCCGAAGAUUCUUCGUUUCGAUGCACGCCAGAUUAGCUAAAGAGAUCAUCGCUGAAGUGACAGAGACGCUGAGACCAUUCUAUUUUGACAGGGUAGAAAACAAGUCACAAAAAUCUGUUGAUAGUUUUUAUCCGAGUGUUACGUAAUUACUUGCUGACCAAAACGUUUUAGUGUUACAAUACCGUGUUUGCUAUCGCCGCCUUUUCGCUUGUAAUUUCUGUUCAGUUUGAUUUUGGCAUCGAGACACAGACGGGUUGUCGUAAUAUCUUUUCGUUAUUGUUUCGUAUCGGAAGAAAAGUCGGUGACUACGAGAUUACGGUAUCUAACAAAACUGCGCACCGAUCGCGUAUACUUCUAUGACCGAGUGGAAAUAAAAAUAUCCGUGAAGGGUGCAUUGACCGAUCUCUAACACAAGCCAAUACGUUAAUCUGCUUAAAAAUCCGCUUGAAAGAAGAAACUUGCAUCAGCGCGUAUUCUGUUCUGCAUUUUGAUCAUUACAAAUCCGAGUGAGCUAUUUUCACGUAUUCUUUGACUCACUGAUAUCACAGUUGUUGUCUGUCAUGAUAACGAACGCAGUUUUCGUAAUCUCACUCGGCGAUACGAUAUAAUUCCCUACGGUAUUAUUUGUAAUAAUUAUAAGUUCGAUCCGGUAUUCAUUUUAACGGACAUAUAGGUAGGAAACAAUAAAUUUAAUCAUGUACAAGGAGAAUUAGAUAUCGGUACUUAAGGAAUGAAAUACAAAGUGUGUUUUAUUUAAGGGUAAAUUCACGAGAAAUGGAUCCAAUUAUUUAAUACUUUUCAUUCAUUUUUAAUAGGAUAAUGCAGGAAGAUCAUACUUUUAAUUAUUAGGGUAAUCGUUAGUGUUCGUGACUUAGGACCCCUGAAGGUGAAGAACGUUGCGUUGUUUUGUAAAAAUUAAACAUUUUUUUCCCUAAUUAUAAUACUAAGUAACAACGAUUGUGGAUCGAAUAUUCUAUUAUGAAUAAUUCGAAUUUUCAAAGUAAGGUUACUUCAACGUAUUAAAUUGCGAUAAUGUCAUUUAAGAAGGUAUCAGAAAAAGGAAAUAGAAAUCGGAUAACAAAUUAAGGGAAUCAUUAUUAUGAAUUAAAAAGACAAAGUCAAUUGUAGUAAAUCGUAUAAAACUUUAAUUAUUCUAAAAAGACAAAUGUAUAACAACUUCAUCAAUCGUUCCAUCGAUUUUCCAUCGUAAAUCAGAGUCUAGCUAUAUUUGAAUAUGAGGCUAGAGCCACCCAGACUAUAUUUUUUAUGUAAUGCGGGCGUACAAUUAUCUCAAGUGUGUAUUUAUCAUCAUGGCUAAUGAUAGAAAAAUGAAUUAUUUAACAAACUUCUAAUAACGAAUAAAGGAGAAGGAAAUAAAAUUUAAUACGAGAGUAAAGUUAAUUAAUAUUCGUUAAGCAAAGAAAUAUGAAAUUGGAAGUAUGAUUUCUUGAAAGCAUAUUUUAUCAUCUAAUAACAAAAUAACCGAGUUUCUAUUUAUUAAAAUUCAAAUUGUAGUAUGAUGUAGUUCAAGGACUAUGUAAUUAUAGCGCAAUUUACAUACGUUUCUUUAUUUACAUAAUUAUUCAUGUAAAGUAAUAUGGUAUAUAAAAGUAAUUGAAUAACAUCUCACAAAACCAUAGUUAUUGUUCGAAAAACGGAUUCUUUCUUCGGUCAAUGAAGAAUUAUACUUGAAUUUAAAGUUUUUACAAAUUUUUAUUUUUAUGUUUCAUAGGUCUUUAACAAUAUUAAUCUAAAAUAUACAAACAAGUAGAACUACGUUUUUAUUAGGGUAAAGAACCGUUUUUAACGAAACAACAAAAAUCAAAACUAUCCAUUAAUAAAUAUUUUAUAAACAUGCCCACCAAGAAUAUCUUAUGCACAAUUUGAAAUUAAACCAAUAUUGAAACUUAAAUAUUUGAUGUUUAAAAUACAUAGUUAUUACACUACACAAAAGGGGUGGGACAAAUUAAGUACAAAUGAGUGAAGGGACUGGUUUGAAAGGGACAAUAGUUUACUAUAAACAAAGAUUGAUAUGAACUUUUGGUGUUGUGUUGUAUAGUAAUAAUAAUGUACCCAAACCUGUACCUUACAAACUGUCUACUCGCUCUUCUGGAAUAAUAGAAAAUACAUUUGGUUAACAAUACAUAACAAUAUCCAGAAUUGAUCGCAUACAAGAUUCCUGUUGAUCAAUAUCUGCAAUAAUUAAUAUAUGAUUACUUCAAAUUUUUUAAUCAUAUUAUUUAACAAAAGAAGUAUAACAAUAUAGCUUGAUAUGAAGUAAUAUUUCUUGUAUAAUAUGUAUAUAGGUGUACAAUAAUUUGUAAUUAUAUAAAGUAAAAUGUUUUAAAUUUGGUCAAACACUUAAUCUUUGCUUUAAUGUGAGCAAACUUUUUUUUUAUAGAAAUUAGUAUCAUAAACGCAUUAAAAAAUAUCUAUUUUUAUUGUUCAGAGAAUAAAAAUGAAUAAAAUAUAAAUGCUUGCAAACAACGUAAUCCCUUAUCGUGUACUGAUUAUAUGGAAAUGCAAUCCGCGUUUCAAUAACUUUAAUUAAAAUUUAAAUUUCAUUAUAGUAUUAUUAUAUAAGAAUACAAAAUAUUAAUAAAUGUAAACAAUCAUAAAAUGGGUUAUAAAUAUUUCUGGUUAAUAGGAAUGAUAUAGAAAAACUCUGGCAUAUCUAAACUGAAAAUAUUUUUUGCAAUUAAAAUCAUUCAAAUGUAAAUAUUUGAUUCAAGUAUACAUAAUAUUUAUAUAAAUUACAGUACACUGGUUUUUACCUUUGCAUUAAUUGACAGCUUAGUGAAAACUGUAAUACAAUUUUAUUUCUCACAAUUAAAACAGUCUAAUUUCGUUCAAUUAUGAAUACCUUUUUGCAUUAACAACGCUUUUAUUAUACAAUUAAUAAAUAGUACUCUCUCUCUAACAACAUAGUUUAAAAACACGCAUUUCAAGAAAACAUCAAAUUAAUAUAUUUGUUGGAACCAACGCGAAUUAUAAAUUAAUUUAUUAUAAAAACCAUAUCUAAUUAAAUUAUUGUUCAAAUAUUUUUAAUUGCACAAAAUAAUUAAGAUAUUAGAAGAAUGCAAGCGUUUUAAAGUUACAUAACAUAUGUUUACAUGUGUUCAAAUAAAUGCAAGCUUGUUACUUUGUACAAAUUUAAAACAGAUUUUAUAAAUAACUGAACAAGUGAUUUGUCGUCUUACAAACAAUACCAUGAACAUUAAUAAGUUUUAAGUAGUCCCCAGUUUUAAACAAUAUCAUUUUGUAAAAUCGUAUUAAAAUGUAGUGUAAGACUUACCGAAUAUGUCGCACUUUCUAUUCAUAUAAAAAAGACUAGUAAACCUGUCACUCUUUGUAGACUUUGCAAUUGAAUUUUAAUGUAAUCUUGUAUAAAAAAACAUUUGUAUAAUCGGGACUUUCAGGCUUAAUUUAUAUCUGUAUAUGAUGUUUUUAAUAAGUAUUGUUCGCAAUGAAUUUCCUCCAAAAAUAGAACCUACAUAAAAAUUGGGUUGGAAUUUUUGAUAGAUGGUAUUAUCUCGUUUUCUAUAAGCUUAAUGUCUUUAUAUGGAGAAAUGUUGUAUGCUGUUGUCAUACAAGUACACAGAGUACUGCAUCAACUUAAUAUUAAACUUUAAAUGCGUGUCAUAUAUGACACCAUUCCAUUAAACUUUAUGGGUAUCAAUACAUAUAUCAUAUGUACCCAAUAUUAUGUGGCAAAACGUUAAUGGUAGCAUAAACAAAAAUUUUGAAUAAUGGAAUAUAGCUUAAAUUUGUCUUAAGCCUACAGCCAGUUUUAAAGAUCUGUAAGAAACUUUUUGUACAUAUAUAAGAACAUUAUACCAUACAAGUAUCCAUAUUCUUCGGCAAGUUGGAUAUUCAAAAAAACUUUUCUCAUAUAACACAGCAUUUGAACAUGAUACAUACUUCUAACUUGAUCAAAAGAUACCACUUCGCCUUUUAUAUUAAUAUCAUUACUAUGUAAUAAAAUAUCCAGUUGAAUGUUCUGGAAUAUAUUUAUGAGUCACAAUUUUAAUAGUUUCUUCAGCAAUGGUGUGUGCGCAAUAUCCUCUUUAGAUUGUUUUGUAAUUGAUGUACCAUCAAGUGGUCAAUCAUUUUUGGACUUUGUUUCACUAUCCUGAUUAUCAGACUUUGUCUCGCCCUCUUGUUGUUCCAGUUUUGAUUCAGCCUCCUGUUGACUACCUUCAUCUUCUUCAUCUGAAUAAUUUGUAGGUGCUUCACCAGGUUUCAACAGUUUACCCACAUAAUCGUACCUUUCUAAAAUAACAAAUAAUGUGCUUUACUUUAGUUCUCUAAAUAGCAAUAACAUCCUACUGUAUACACAUUAUAAAUAUUGAUAUUGCUUUUUAUAUCAUAUAUAUUUAAUGUGAAAAGAAACAUUACUGUUUCACAUCUAUUUAAACACGGUAACAUACCUUGAAAUUGUUCAUCCCAUUCUUUGACAGAAUUCAUUUCUCUGGUAUUCAAAUCACUGAGAUCAUCAUAUUCUUCUUUUACCGCUAAUGAAAAUGUUGCCAGGCCUCUAGUGGCAUCUCUUCCACCAAACACUUCAUAUGGACCACCUAAUAUAAAAGCAAUUCACGCGUAAAGUAUAAGAAUAUUACAAUUAAUAUUACUUUAAUGUUUUGGUACUUUAUUUAAUGAAUUCUUUACUAAAUAUACAAGUCUUAUAACAAAUUGUAAAAACCAAAAAUUCACACUGUUUUAUGUAUUUAUAAUGUACACAAAUAUCUAACGUUAAAUGCCCGUUGUCUAAUCAAGUUU